rnacentral:rRNA from 1 species
UACGAAGGGGGCGAGCGUUGUUCGGAUUUACUGGGCGUAAAGGGCGCGUAGGCGGCGGACCAAGUCGAGUGUGAAAGCCCCGGGCUCAACCUGGGAGGUGCGCUCGAGACUGGUUUGCUAGAGUUCGGGAGAGGAGCGUGGAAUUCCCAGUGUAGAGGUGAAAUUCGUAGAUAUUGGGAAGAACACCGGUGGCGAAGGCGGGUCGCUCGGCG